rnacentral:rRNA from 1 species
GGCGGACGGGUGAGUAACACGUGAGAAUUUGCCUUUAGGAGGGGGAUAACAAUUGGAAACGAAUGCUAAUACCCCAUAUGCUUUCGAGUGAAAUGGAUUUAUAUUUAUCCGCCUAGAGAGAAGCUCGCGGCUGAUUAGCUUGUUGGUAAGGUAAGAGCUUACCAAGGCGAAGAUGGGUAGCUGGUCUGAGAGGACGAUCAGCCACACUGGAACUGAGACACGGUCCAG